CCUCGGCUGAUCAGAAAGCGGGUGGAGGGCGUGCCUUUCCUUUCUUAUUGGGCCUGAAGUAAAGCAGACUGCUGCCCCACCCCGACCCCGACCCCGCUGCCCGCCUCGUCCGCGUCUCAGCAAGUGGCCGCUCCACGGCUCCCUGCGCUCAAGCCAGCCCCCCUGGAAGGGUGUCACGGAGCGCACGGGCGGGUUGUCUAGCGAGUCCGAAGAGUGGGAUCCACGGACACGGGGUGUGAAGCAGCAAAGUGACGGGGUUCAUUGGAGUACAGGAAAGCAGAGCUCCCGAGAGGGUAGGGCCCCUAGACAGGGCUGCCCGCGGGUCGUUGUCGGGGGUUUCUAUUCGUUACUGAUGAGGAAAAGCCUUCUGGCGCAAUUGAAAGUUUCUGGAGGCUGAAAAUCCAAGAUUGAGGCACCACUAGGUUUUGUGUCCUGAGAACCUGGUUUCUGCUACCGGGAUGAUGCUGUGCUCCUGUGUCCUCUGGAGGAGAGGAACCACCACGUCCUCAAACAGCAGAAGAGAUGGUGGGAAAUGGGCACCUGCAAGACCUGAGGACAAAAGCAGGGGCAAGCUCAGCUCUUCGCCUUGGCAGCUGUGAGGAUGGCUGGGGCCUGAGCCUAAGCAACCCCAUUUAAAACUCCAGUUUGAAACCUGCAGUCUCACCAGGCACACCUAGGAGCCCUCCAUAUGGCCCUCAGGCACCAGCAAGUCACUUCCCCACCCUGGUAAACUCAGAGUGAAGUCUCAGGCAGGCUGUUCUCACCCAAUAAGAGGAAAAGGUGAAGGAUCAGGGUGGAGACCAACAGACAAAAUGUUUUAACCCCAGGGUAAAUGAUGUCACUGAGAAAUCUGGUGGCAGCUGAUAGGGAUUGAAAGGGGGGGUCAAAAGUCCCAAAAUUUAGUAUAAAUACUAGAGCAAAUGAACAGACUUUCAGCCAGCUGACACUGAUGCCCUCAGCUGAGAACCUGAUGAGGACCUGGACCGACACCCCAACACUUUUCAUCCUUUGCUGAUCCUCUGCAUCUUCCUCACCGCUCACAGCCACAUCUUGACCCUGGAGAGAGCAAGGACUUCUCCGCUGACAUUCUCUUCAGCCAGCCAUCAGAUCACCAAGGUCUGAGUGAGUGUGCAUCUGCUGGAUUUAAAGCUUAAGACUUUUUUUCCCUUUUAAAAAAAAAAUUAUAUAUGACAGCAGAAUGCAUUACAAUUCUUACUACACAUAUAGAGCACAGUUUUUCAUAUCUCUGGUUGUAAACAUAGUAUACUCACACCAAUUCGUGUCUUCAUACCUGUACUUUGGAUAAUGAUGAUCAUUACAUUCCACCAUCAUUAAUUACCCCAUGCUCCCUCCCUUCCGCUCCAACCCCUCUGCCCUAUCUAGAGUUCGUCUAUUCCUCCCAUGUUCCCUCUCACUAUCCCACUAUGAAUCAGCCUCCAUAUAUCAAAGAAAACACUUGGCAUUUGCUUUUUGGAAUUGGCUAACUUCACUUAGCAUUAUCUUCUAUAACUCCAUCCAUUUACCUCCAAAUGCCAUGAUUUUAUUCUCUUUUAUUGCUGAGUAAUAUUCCAUUGUGUAUAUAUGCCACAUUUUUUUUAUGCAUUCAUCCACUGAAGGGCAUCUAGGUUGGUUCCACAAUUUAGCUAUUGUGAAUUGUGCUGCUGUAAACAUUGAUGUGGCUGUGUCCUUGUAGGAUGCUGCUUCUAAGUCCUUUGGGUAUAGACCAAGGAGAGGGACAGCUGGGUCAAAUGGUGGUUCCAUUCCCAAUUUUCCAAGAAAUCUCCAUACUACUUUCCAUAUUGGCUGCACCAAUUUGCAGUACCACCACAGUGUAUGAGUGUGCCUUUUCCCCCCACAUCCUCACCAACACUUAUUGUUGUCUUCAUAAUAGCUUCCAUUUUGACUGGAGUGAGAUGAAAUCUUAGAGUGGUUUUGAUUUGCAUUUCUCUAAUUGCUAGUGAUAAUGAACAUUUUUUUAUGUAUUUGUUGAUUGAUUGUAUAUCCUCUUCUGAGAAGUGUCCCUUCAGGUCCUUGGCCCAUUUAUAGGCUUAAGACUUUUGAUCUAACACUGAACUUAGCACACAGAGGGAAUGUCUGUCAUUAGCCUGUCAUGAUUAAGUGUGUUUGCAGUGCUCAGAAUUAAUCAAUCUAGAAUUGUUUGCUGUGAAUUAAUCUAGAAUUGUUUGCUGUGAAUUGAUUAUUGCCGCAGUCUGGCUGGGCACAAAUGCCGCAGUCUGGCUGGGCACACAAUCACGAGCCACCACACAACUUGUAGAUUCAAACAGCAACUCUUUAUUCCCGAACUCACACCAGCCGUCUACAAUCACGUUCUGGGGAAAUCCACGUUCUCUUCCCAAAUCCACGUUCUCUGCCCAAAUCCACGUUCUCUGCCCAAAUUCACGUUCUCUGCCCAAAUCCCCGUCCACUGGGCUUCUAUCUCCAAAAUAUAUUGUCUGAAUCCCGUGAGAACUCAAGGGGAACUCAGGCAGCAGGAUACGCCCUAUUCCCAGCAGGAAUAAUCUUAAACCUUAAACCUGGAACCUAAACUGGGAACGCCCUAAACACGAUUAUCUUAAAACCGGGAACACCCUAAUCUGCCUUGGUCCUUGAGCAAGGUCACGUACAUUCAAUGUCACUGCAACAUGGGGUACGCUGGCAAGGAAAUUGUCAUACCUACUUGGCUAAUGGCUCCCAGCAGAUUAUGUCAAUUGCAGUGCCUAGCAUUAAGGAUUGACAUUUUUUUUUCUGAUUAAGAACUGAUAGAGUGAAAUUGUAUUGAGUGAUUUGAGUGAAUAAAGCAUUGGAAAGGGCAGAA